rnacentral:ncRNA from 1 species
UCUUGAUUAAUUGGUGAUUGGUAACCAUAUAUAUAUAUAUAUAUAUAUAUAUAUAUAUAUAUAUAUAUAUAUAUAUCGAGUCAAGGUAUAGUUUCAAGUAGAUAGUUUCUAUGAGGCAUAGGCCUCCCAAAAGGUAACGGAGGCGUACAAGGGUUUCCUCAAGUCGGACGGAUUGACCCUUACAUACAAAGGCAUAAGGGAGCUUGAUUACAAGACCCACCCGUCAAGUAGGGGCGAAAGUCGGCUUUAGUGAUUCGACGGUGCUGAGUGGAAGGGUCAUCACUCAAUAGAUAAAAGUUACUCUAGGGAUAACAGGUUGAUCUUCCCCAAAAGCUUACAUCGAUAGGAAGGUUUGGCACCUUGAUGUCAGCUCUUCGCCACGUGGGAUUGUAGUAUGUUUCAAGGGUUGGGUUGUUUGCCCAUUAAACCGGUACUUAUAUAUCUAUAUAUAUAUAUAUAUAUAGGU